CCUCUUCUUAUCGGCUCUGUAGUGAAAUUCAUGUUGAGUUGCAAGCUCAUCGAUG
rnacentral:tRNA from 1 species